rnacentral:misc_RNA from 1 species
GAUUACUAUGCAUUGUAUCAAUAUAACGUGAUAGAACCAAUAACUUUAGCUCAAUGGUACAAGAGUUAUCUCCAAGGCUUUGAAGUCUCGAGCUAGAGUCCUAGCCGGAUCCAAUUAGAGCAAAAAAAAAUAAUGUGAUAGUACUUGAGCUAAUUCUUUGAAUCCUUUCACAAAGAGACAAAUAAAUAAUAAGCCAACGAAGUCACAACCUGCAA